rnacentral:lncRNA from 1 species
CAACGAUCUUGCACCAAAUUCCAACAAUUCGUCCUUUUCCUUUUCUUCAGUUUGGAUAAUUCGGAAAUCUGCCUUACCAAUUUUUACCCACCUAGCGAUCGGAUCUGAUCGGUUGGAUGUAAAUGAUGAUUGGAGCAAGGGUCUUUCCGUCGAAUAGUUUCUUUUUUUAGGGCGCCCACGUUCCAGGGAUUCUGACUGGGCAUGCUCCAGCCAAGAACAAUAAAUCCCGUUUACGCAUUCUUCUAGCAAACGAACGGUCUCAGCUCAGCUGCGAUAAAUAUCUCCAGUCCUGACAACUCUUAGUCUCAUAAUAUUCCCCGGAGUUUCUGGAAACUCUAGUUACUCUACCGAGGGCGCCUCCACUUAACUAGUACAAUUAUUAAUGAUCUGUGCUGAACUCUGCUAAAGCGUACGUGCGUAAAGGCACCUAGCUAACUAGGUUACCAUACAUAGUUUGUGUUCAUCGCUCGGAUACUUACCUCCAGGCCUGCUCGACAAUGCUGAAUCCAAUUUUCAGCCUCCAUGCUACAGCUAACAUUAACAGGGACGAACGAGGCACGAAGUAUUGUUUCAUGCAAUUUUGAGAGACAGUAAUUAUUCGAUAUACUACGACGUAUGACACCAUGACCAUACCGGAGGGUCCCAUCAUUAGGAUCCCAUGUAGUACUUGCUUCAUGCCGUAAAGCCAUCAUCAAACUAUGGAUCUAGUAGAGAAUGGAACCUUAGAAGGAGACAAUUAAAGGCAAGGGCCCAAAAGCCCAAAGUAUGUUUAUGAAUAUAUCAAGUCUGUCGAGAAUACUACAUGUGUAGCAUGCCAAAAAAAAGUACAAGAAGGGUAUAACAAGAGCAGGGGAAAAGAACGCUUUAUCUAUGUACACUUCGUGCUAUAAAUAUUAUAUUGAAAGAUUGGUCUCGCUGUUAGGACUUUUUCGAUGAGGUAUAUCAAGUCCGUGCUGUGGUGGUAGGAUGUGAUUGAGGAACCAUUUCUGGGUAUGAGAGACGCGGAAGAGUAAGGAUGACUCUCCAGAUUCGGGGUUAAACAUUGUUAUUUUUCAUCACUUCGUCAAAGAUCGUCAAUAUGAUCUUCAUAGGUUGCACGGCUUCUAAUUCGUGUCGCCAUAUGUAAAUCGCUGUUUUCACGUGAGUGAGUACAAGUAUCAUGCAUUGCUGCUUCCCUUUGAUAAUUUCGCGGUACACGUCGCAGUUGAUUUGUACUUCAGUAUCUUACAGCUCGUUGCUCGACUUGUCAGUGCUCGAGAGCGCAGCAGAUGCCAUACUGUUUCGUAAUGACCGACGGCCGUCAAGGUUGUGGACUUCUGUUUUAUUCUCAAGGCAGCGUGUUAUAGCAGUCGGAAUUCCAAGCUCAGUCACCGAACAGACAACUCUAGGCUCGGAUU